rnacentral:lncRNA from 1 species
GAAGAGUAUAAACAUAGGAAUUUUGUAAAGUCUGAGGACAAAACAGAAAACAGAACACCACCACCAGACCAUAAAACAACAUUAGAAAUCAAUCACAAAAGUCAAAACUUCCAAUUUGUCGGUUGAAGAUU